AACGAACGCUGGCGGCGUGCCUAACACAUGCAAGUCGAGCGCGAAAAGAGCAAUCUGAGUAGAGCGGCGCACGGGUGCGUAACACGUGGGUAAUCUGCCUCAGGGUUGAGGAUAACCUUCCGAAAGGUUGGCUAAUACUCGGUAAGCUUACGGUGACCUUGGUCACUGUGAGAAAAGUAGACCUCUAUUUAUAAGUUUACGCCCAGAGAUGAGCCCGCGGCCCAUCAGCUAGUUGGCGGGGUAACGGCCCACCAAGGCAACGACGGGUAGCUGGUCUGAGAGGACGAUCAGCCACACUGGAACUGAGACACGGUCCAGACUCCUACGGGAGGCAGCAGUGGGGAAUUUUCCACAAUGGGCGAAAGCCUGAUGGAGCAACGCCGCGUGUGUGAUGAAGGUCUUCGGAUCGUAAAGCACUUUCGACCGGGACGAAAAACCUCUGGCUAGCAUCCAGGGGCCUGACGGUACCGGGAGAAGAAGCACCGGCUAACUCUGUGCCAGCCGCCGCCGUAAGAC
rnacentral:rRNA from 1 species